ensembl:lncRNA
AGUGACAGACAUGGAACUAGAAUUCUUUCUUAACUCUCUCUUCUUUGCACUUUGCUCUCCAAUUCCUUCCUCCUCUUAUUCAUUUAACAAAUAGUAUGGAGCCCCUGGAGUAGGAAAUGGCAACCCACUCCAGAAUUUCUGCCUGAAAAAUUCCAUGGAUGCAGGAAACCAGUGGGCUACAGUCCAUGGGGUCACAAAGAGUGGCAUGACUAAGAAAACACACACACACUCACAUGGAGCCCCUACCACAUGCCAAUCACUGCUCCAUGUGCUGGGCCUGCAGUAAGUGAGUGAGAAAGACGUGCUUCCUGCCUGCCGGACUUUCUAAUGGAGGGGAGGAGGCAGAGAAUAAAAGCAUCAGCAAAUCAAUCAGUUGGAUGAUUGGAGCGAGCUGUGUGUCCUAAAGAAAGCAGAAGGGUCAGAGUAGCUUGGCCCCGUUCCGGGGGUUGGCCAGGGAAGGCCACCCUGAACAGAUGACCCGGGAGGGGACCCAGAGUGAGAAGAAGCCAGCCACAAGGUCAGAGAGGAACGUUCCAGGCAGAAGGAAGAGCAACAGCCAGGCUGUACUUCCUCCCAGACUCAACUCCUUGCUCCACUCUGAACAAGAGAACCACACACUGGAAGGGGAACUUCCUGAGCCAGGGAUCGAACCUGCGUUGGCCAGGCAGAUUCUUUACCACUGAGCCACCAAGGGGACCCUUUAGUCAGAUAAUCAACAGGUCAGAUCUGAAGCGCAUUCCUUUUGACGCCAUGCCACCGUGAGCUUCCAAAACAAGAUCGGCUCUCAGGCAAGCCUCUGAAUGGGUCACAAAAUUCAAAGCAGAACCGAAUGAAGCCAAGUUGCCAGGCAUGAUAUAGAAAGCUCUGUUGUGCAUCUAUAGAGAGACUUAACACACCCUGUUCUAGUGUAGUAAUUUAACCAGUGUGGCUGAAAAACUUAGCUCUCAUCUUUUGAAUAAACCUUUAUAGAAACACUGCAAGUUAGAAUCGUGUUUGUGUCAGAUCAUAACUUAUCAUUUCUGGAAUGAAAUUCUCAAAUAUAUGUCCUUUGGAGUUCUUCCAAGAAGCUUCCUACAGAGUUCCAGAUGAAGAGAAUAACCUAAAAGAUAAUAUCAAGAUUGUCCUCCAGAAGACCAGAUUCCCCUCCCAGGGACACUGACACAGAUUUCAUGAAAGUUUUCAUAGAAUUUUCUUCAGAUCUGCCAUGUUUGGCAUUUGUUUCCAUGCCCUUAAUAUCUACUGAAUUCCUAAUAUUAUUGUUAUCUGCAUUUUUAUUAUUCAGUUUUCAUUUGUCACCAUAUCAAGUGAAAGUAGCUAGAUGGAUGGUCACCAAAUUCAGUGGGAAUGUUGGUGAGCAUCUUGUAUAGAAUAUAUAGGCUGUGUAAGAAACAAAAUUUAUUUUGCAGGGCUCAGGUGGGGGGCAUCACAAAGAGUAGGGAGGUCACUUAGACCCUGGAGGGAUGGCUGUUCAAGAGAAACAAGCCAGGACUUCCCUGGUGGUCCAGUGAUUAAGAAUCUGCCUGCCAGUGCAGGGGACACAGGUUCAAUCCCUGGUCCAGGAAGACCUCACAUGCUGCAAGACAACUAAGCCUGUGUGCCGCAACUGCUGAGCCCUCACUUCGGAGCCCACGCAUUGUAACUACUGAAGCCAGCAUGCUGUAGAGCCCACGCUCCACAAGACAAGCCACUGCAGUGAGAAGUCCACACACUGCCACUAGAGAACGCCUAUGCACAGCAAGGAAGGCCCAGUGCAGCCAAAAAAAGAGAGACAAGCCAUAGUCCUGAGAAAGCUAUAGGAAGAGAAACACACAGAGGGAUUUGAAUCUGACUCCCAUAUUGCAAGUCACAAGGGCAGACACUCUGAAUCACAGCAUUGAUUUGUGAUGGAGCUGGUUCCCACACGGGCCACUCCAUGGAGCAUGAUCCAGGGAUGUGUUUCUUAAUAACUCUAAUGACAUUGGCAACAACACCAGGGCCACACCUCCAGCAGGCCUGUCUUGGAGUGUUAUUCCCGAGCUAUAGUGAUUGGGGAGCAUUUCUGCUUAGUGUUGCACAGCGGUUCUCAAGCUUUCUUUCGUCUCUGUACCUUUACCCUCUCAGUUUAUUAGAAAUUCGAACUGAGAAGAAUAUUCUAAAACUUUAUGGGGUAACUUAGCUGGUAAAGAAUCCACCUGUAAUGCAGGAGACCUGGGUUCAAUCCCUGGGUUGGGAAGAUCCCCUGGAGAAGGGAAAGGC